UUCUUAUGUUAAUAAAUCUCCAUUAAUUUUUUUAAAGAUAUAAUCAUCUUAUUGUAAAGUUAAAUGGAAAGUAUUUUAUAUAAAAAUUUUGAAUUGAAAAAAUAAAAAGUAUAAUUUUAUCAAUAAUAAAAAUAAAAAAUUACCAAAAUCAAGAAAUACUGAAGAAAAAUCUCACUUGUAUUUCCUACAAUAGUGUUGGCAGAAUUCUUUUUCUUUAUAAUUUGAAGAUUAUUUUAAUUACAAAUUGACUCUUUAGUCUUUAAAUGGAUGUGGUUGUAAAAAUAUUAAUAAAAAACUUAUUACUAUCAACGCUGCUGCAAUUCUAUAAAAUUUUAUAAAUGUAUUCAUAAAAAAAAAAAAUCCAUAAAGAAUAUAAUCAAAUUUAUAGAAAAAGGAAAUAAAAAGAAAUUCUAAAAGAGAGAAGAAAACACAUAAAAUAUAUAUGUUGAUAUAUAAUUUCUAAAAGUAAAAUUGAGUGAGAGAAGAAGAAAAAGUGAAUAUAUUAAAUUGAAGUGGAGAGAUCAAGAGCUCGAAAAAGGCAUCGUUUUGUCUUGGAUGUAGCAAACUGACUUUUACAUACAAAAGUUGAGUCAUAUUCCUCAUCUUUGCACCGCCACUGCCAUGGACAAAAGCAUCCAAAAUAAAAAGGCUACUAAAUCAAUAUAUACAGCAAAAGAUACGUUACCUACCAAAACUGGAAGCAUUGGCAUGGAAAACUAUUGCAUAGGGUAAAGAUUUACAUUCGUGAAAAGGAUGAUCUAUUCAGAUGAGGAUCCAACUACAUAUUGCAAUGCCGAAUCCAUAUUGUAUAUAUGAAAGAGGGUGACCUUUUUGCUUCUUUUAUGAUACAAUUUUAUAUAUAUAUAUAUAUGCUACAAGCAUUGUUUAACUUGGCUUCCUUCUGAUUGGAGCUAGAGAGGAGUUCCCUCCAAAUGUCUAUUUUCUGAAAUUUUCUAGCCUUGAGCUAAAGAAAUGAAAUGGUUUUGCACCA